UUGACCAUUGCCUGCGACCACGAUUCCUGCCUUCUGCGAAGGCUUAAUAAACAUAUGCCACGCUCUGCGUGUGUAUCAACACUUUUUUCUGCAUGAGUCUCCAUUACACACUCUCACCUAAAAAUGGAAUUGAUUCAGCGGAGCUACAGUGGUGCCUAACCCAGCAAGAGGAGCUUAUGGAGGAAAUGCGCCUAACCCAGCAAGAGGAGCUUAUGGAGGAAAUGUGCCAUCUUCUCUGCCAGCCUAUCCCUACUCCUCUGAUGCCAGUUUGUCUGGAUGAAGUGCCUGCGCCUCAUGAAGAUGGAUUACUGGGCUGAAUACGCUAACAAGUGGCUAGUUUGACAUAAAUGAUGGAACUUUAUGGAACAAAUCAGUCAUUUAUUGUCGAACUGGGAAUUCCUGGGAGUGCAUUCUGAUGAAGUUCAUCAAAGCGGAAUGUUGUCGAGGGGUUCUGCUAGCGCAAUGCCUCUUCACCUCAGCUCUUUUCCUUCACCAACCAGCGUGAUGGAUGCCUCCGAAGUAGGCGACAUACCCUCUGUGGGUGGGAACACCUCCCAAAUCACAUCCCUGUGCCUUCUCCAGGAAGUUAUCCCCGCUGAGAGGAAUUACGAAUUACGUGGGGAACAGAACUCCUUCGCGUCAAGAUGGCCCUCAAGGAGGGGCGCCACUGGUUGGAGGGCGCACAACAUCCCUUUCUCAUCCUAACAUCAUCGUAAUCUGGAAUAUAUCAGAGGGGCCAAGAGCUUAAACUCCAGACAAGUCCGCUGGGCUCACCUGCACACGCUUCCAUUUUCAUGUUACUUACAGUGCCUUGCGAAAGUAUUCGGCCCCCUUGAACAUUGCGACCUUUUGCCACAUUUCAGGCUUCAAACCUAAAGAUAUAAAACUAUUUUUUUGUGAAGAUUCAACAAGUGGGACACAAUCAUGAAGUGCAAUUAUUGGAUAUUUCAAACAUUUUUAACAAAUCAAAAACUGAAAAAUUGGGUGUACAAAAUAACAAUUUCUUCGAAUACGGAGUUUGGAAAACACGUGUGGACCUGAAUUGUGAUAACUGCAGUGGCCAAAACAACAACAAGUUUGUGCAAUGGUAUUCACAACCUCAACCACUAUCUGGACCUUCACUUCCUGAUCACAAGCCACACCAAGUUUGCCCAUGGCUGGUGCUUUGACCUCUUCAAGCAGCGCUUCAGAAAGAACAGAGUGAACACUUUGUCUGAGAUUGCUGGUGUUGUGAAGGACAGCACUGUGAGAGGUCAACAUCCCAGAGCUGGUUGGACUGGAGGCUGGUACGGUGCUGGUGGAAAGCCGCCACAGAUCAAGCAGUACCAGCACUUCAGGUUUGAAGCUCUGGAGCCUGGUGUUGUCGCCAAGGAGCGUCCCGACUUUCGGGACCAGGUUUCAGCUGCUUAGCGUCCUUCUGCCUGUUGAUGGUCAACCUGUACAAGCACCACCUGGACUGGACACAGCAAGACAAACUGAGUUUUUUGAGAAGAUCAGGGAGUUUUGCAAUGAAGCGGCUAUGGACAUUACAUGCCCUGCACCAAAGUCAAGGGCAGGACAGAAACAGUCUCUCUGAAUAUUGAUUCCCUUGUUCAUGCGUGGUUUGGACGGACCAGUCAUCAGCACGAUCUGCAGUGCCUCUAUUCACAUGACUCUCUCCUAACAUGCUGCUAUUUUUUUUUAUCCUGCUGCUCAGCCACUUUACCCCUGAUUGUAUGCAUAUAACUACCUCGUCUAUCACUGAUAUUGUUCUUGUACAUACUGUACCGUAUGUUAUUUAUACUGACAUUACCUAUUUAUGAUAUUCCUACUAUGCAACGAACCAUUUGGCUGUACUGUUUACACCUUCUGUAGAGACCAUCCACUUAUCAAAAUUAAUUGUAUAUAUCAAUAUUUUACGAUGUGUGGUUGUGACAUACCACAACAAAAUCAUGUGACCGUAUCAAGUGUCCAACACAUGAAUAUAUUGCGCAUGCAUCUGUUUAUGUACAUGUGCACCUCACUCAGGUUUCAACUCAGGUUGCAUGACCUUUAAUUUAUGUAUGGAAUACUAUGUGAUAAGUGCAUGUGUAACAGUAUAUACAGUGGGGCAAAAGUAUUUAGUCAGCCACCAAUUGUGCAUGUUCUCCCACUUAACGAUG